rnacentral:rRNA from 1 species
GACGGAGGAUGCAAGCGUUAUCCGGAAUUAUUGGGCGUAAAGCGUCCGUAGGCGGUUGAGUAAGUCUGCUGUUAAAGCGUGGAGCUUAACUCCGGGACGGCAGUGGAAACUACUUGACUUGAGUGAGGUAGGGGUUAGGGGAAUUCCCAGUGUAGCGGUGAAAUGCGUAGAGAUUGGGAAGAACACCGGUGGCGAAAGCGCGUGACUGGGCCUGCACUGACACUGAGGGACGAAAGCUAGGGGAGCGAAAGGG